rnacentral:lncRNA from 1 species
UCACAGUUGCGUAGGUUUGGAUUCUAGAAUUUCGUCCCUAUUUUUGUUUUGAAGGCAAUUUUCUGGAAGUUUAGGAUGGCCCAGCUCACGAGUGGUUCAGAUUCAACUUCGUUUCUUGGGUUUUGCAUUUUGUUCUGGGUUCAUUGCUUGAAUGUGGUGCUUUAGCUUCAUUUUUUGAAGGUUGUAUAUAUAGACCCUGUUUGAGCCACAUUAUUGUAAAAAUAAGAAUGAAAAAUAUAGUCAUUAUGAGCUCCACACAAAAGAUAAAAAGUCAAAUAUGGUGACUUGAUGUGAUGGAUAACGGUCAUAUUUUUUCAUUUUAAUGAAGACGCGAAUUCGGGA